rnacentral:rRNA from 1 species
AUUGAACGCUGGCGGCAGGCCUAACACAUGCAAGUCGAGCGAGCGGCGGACGGGUGAGUAAUGUAUGGGGACUGCCCGAUAGAGGGGGAUAACUACUGGAAACGGUGGCUAAUACCGCAUACUAUCGGCUAACCCAUCGGGGAUUCGCUAGUAGGUGGGGUAAAGGCUCACCAAGGCGACGAUCUCUAGCUGGUCUGAGAGGAGGAUCAGCAACACUGGGACUGAGACACGUGCCAGACGCCUAUGGAGGAAUCAGUGGGGAAUAUUGCACAAUGGGCGCAAGUCUGAUGCAGCCAUGCCGCUUGUAUGAAGAAGGCCUUAGGGUUGUAAAGUACUUUCAGCGUGGAGGCGUUACCCGAAGAAGAAGCACCGGCUAACUCCGUGCCAGCAGCUGCGGUAAUAC